GGCCGCGGGGAGGACAGGGUCUGUGGGGGCAUGACUUGGGGUCCGGGGCUCGCAGAGCCAACCAUGUCUUCUUUCCCAG
rnacentral:miRNA from 14 species